rnacentral:rRNA from 1 species
AUUGAACGCUGGCGGCAUGCCUUACACAUGCAAGUCGAACGGCAGCACGGGUGCUUGCCCCUGGUGGCGAGUGGCGAACGGGUGAGUAAUACAUCGGAACAUGUCCUGUAGUGGGGAUAGCCCGGCGAAAGCCGGAUUAAUACCGCAUACGAUCUACGGAUGAAAGCGGGGGACCUUCGGGCCUCGCGCUAUAGGGUUGGCCGAUGGCUGAUUAGCUAGUUGGUGGGGUAAAGGCCUACCAAGGCGACGAUCAGUAGCUGGUCUGAGAGGACGACCAGCCACACUGGGACUGAGACACGGCCCAGACUCCUACGGGAGGCAGCAGUGGGGAAUUUUGGACAAUGGGCGAAAGCCUGAUCCAGCAAUGCCGCGUGUGUGAAGAAGGCCUUCAGGUUGUAAAGCACUUUUGUCCGGAAAGAAAUCCUUGGCCCUAAUACGGUCGGGGGAUGACGGUACCGGAAGAAUAAGCACCGGCUAACUACGUG